rnacentral:rRNA from 1 species
UACGGAGGGAGCUAGCGUUGUUCGGAAUUACUGGGCGUAAAGCGCACGUAGGCGGCUGUUCAAGUCAGAGGUGAAAGCCCGGAGCUCAACUCCGGAACUGCCUUUGAAACUAGACAGCUUGAAUCCAGGAGAGGUGAGUGAAAUCCGAGUGUAGAGGUGAAAUUCGUAGAUAUUCGCGAAGAACACCGGUGGCGAAGGCGGCCAACUGGACCAUUACUGACGCUGAGCGCGAAAGCGUGGGGAGCAAACAGG